rnacentral:rRNA from 1 species
GAUCCUGGCUCAGGAUGAACGCUGGCAGCGUGCUUAACACAUGCAAGUCGAGCGAAGCACUUAGGAAAGAUUCUUCGGAUGAUUUCCUAUUUGACUGAGCGGCGGACGGGUGAAUAACGCGUGGGUAACCUGCCUCAUACAGGGGGAUAACAGUUAGAAAUGACUGCUAAUACCGCAUAAGACCACAGCACCGCAUGGUGCAGGGGUAAAAACUCCGGUGGUAUGAGAUGGACCCGCG